rnacentral:tRNA from 1 species
GGAGAAAUGACUCAGUGGUUAAGAGUACUGGUUGUUCUUCCAGAGGAUCUGAGUUCAAUUCCCAGCACCUCCC